rnacentral:rRNA from 1 species
GACGAACGCUGGCGGCGUGCUUUACACAUGCAAGUCGAACGGUGAAGGUGGAGCUUGCUCCGCCGGAUCAGUGGCGAACGGGUGAGUAACACGUGGGCAACCUGCCCCUAACUUUGGGAUAACUACUCGAAAGAGUAGCUAAUACCGGAUAUGAAGUCUGUAGGCAUCUAUGGAUUUGGAAAGUUUUUCGGUUAGGGAUGGGCCCGCGGCCGAUCAGCUUGUUGGUGGGGUAGUGGCUCACCAAGGCGACGACGGGUAGCCGGCCUGAGAGGGCGACCGGCCACACUGGGACUGAGACACGGCCCAGACUCCUACAGGAGGCAGCAGUGGGGAAUAUUGCGCAAUGGGCGAAAGCCUGACGCAGCAACGCCGCGUGCGGGAUGAAGGCCUUCGGGUUGUAAACCGCUUUCAGCAGGGAAGAAGCGAAAGUGACGGUACCUGCAGAAGAAGCACCGGCUAACUACGUGCCAGCCGCCGCCGUAA